UUCGACAGCAACUCAUCCGCCUCAGUCUCGUCUUUCGUUGGCGGCGGAGCACAAUGUAGUAGUGUUCGUGGGCGCAUCUCUGUGAAAAUCCAUACAAGUAUCGGAACCGACUGUCGAGAUGGGAAAGAGAAAAUCCCUAAAUGCAUCUGUGAAAAAAUGACAUUUUUUCAGUCAAUGAACUAAGACUAGCAGUUCAUUUUUAUUCUGUAGGGGGAACUUUUUUGGGUGAAAUUCUGAACGCUAUUCAAAGAUAUAAGCAGCUGCCAUUGUCCAACAAUGCACUAAUUAUCUGAACAUUGUUUUGUUUUUCUGUAGCAAGUUAUUCUAUAAAUACUGAACACUACGCAAGGAAAUCAGCAGUUGCCACUGUUCAGAGAAUGAGCUAAUUCCCAGAAAGUCGUUUUGUUUUUCUGUAGCAAGUUAUUCUAUAAAUAUUGAACACUAUGCAAGGAAAUCAGCAGCUGCCAUUGUUCAGAGAAUGAGCUAAUCUGCUGAAAAUCGUUUUGUUUUUCUCUAGCAAACUAUUGUAUGGAUUAGCUAAGAAAUUGAGCUCUGAACAUUGUUCAAACAACAGAGAUAGAGCACAGACUGUAUAUGCAUUGAGCAUUAAGCUAGAAGAAUUCUUAGCUAAUCCUUGACGAGACAUUGGUGUGCUGAAUGAUCUCUGCUACCCACCAUAAUUUAUUUAUUUUUAUAUGAAAUAUGCAUGCUUGUAUGUGCUGUCCCAUUUUAGUACUUGCGGUUUCAUCUUCAAUUUUGUCAUAAAUUAGGAUUUUGUUUAGUUAUAAAUUCUAGGUUUCUAAUCUGGUGCCUGCUACUCCUUUUGACCAUUUUUGCAGGUCAGAGUUGAAACAGACCCAUAAGACAGAACUCAGCUCCGGAUUAGUCCUUCCGGAGCUAAGUUAUUUUACACCAGUUUACCCCCUUUUAGCAGCUGCCAUUAUUCCUGGAGGAGAAAUUGAUUCUCAGACCACAAGAACCACAGAACAGCAAGGGUGAUAUUCAGGUUGAAAUAUCUCCAUAGACAAUCUAACCUGUACAGGGAUGAGUAAGAGAUGAAACACUUCAAUUGAAAGCACCGCGAAGGUAUCUAAGCAAUGGCAACAUCAUUUGAAGAACAUCCUUUUUCUUUUCCUAAUUUUUUGUAGGUUAAUAACUUACAGCGAAAAUGUCAAUAACUUACAGCAUAAAUAUCUUCUUAUAGGCAGUCUUUCACACUAAAACGACAACACAGGCCUUACAUACACAUAAGUAAAAAUGCUCAUCGUUUUUCUCUGCGCCCACCAUGCAAAAAAACAAAUGUGCCCCAACAAGAUAAUUGCCUCCUUUUCUUUUCCCAUAGCAUCCUAUGCGCGUUGUAGCUCUUUGGUCCAGCCCACGGCGCCAUAACAGAUAAAGGGAAUUAGUUCCUUCUGCUUCUAUAUAAGAAAAUAUGAUAGCCAUAAUAAACCCUAUAAGAUUAAUACUGCUAGUCCAGAAAAUUUAAGCAUUACUGGGUUCUUUUGGGGACAUUGUGGCUUUCGAUGGCCUGGCAGCUUGCACUUGGAACACUUCUUUAUUGCUGACUGCAGAUUUUUUUAACCUUUCUUCCAAUUGUGUACUGCAGAUUUUUCUCACUACUAAAAUACAUUUUGUUUUGUAUGCGGAUCAUCACAAUAUGAUUAAACCAUGUCUCAAAGCUCCCGGACGAUCACCCAAGGACGGCAAAAUGCUGGACACAUGACAAUGACUCAUCGAUAAGAGGAUUUUCCGGCGAAAUACUAUUUUUUAGAUAAAUAGUUUUCUUGCUUUUUAGUACGGACACACAUACAAUUUUAUUGAUGCUUUUUUUGGAUAGAGAUGACAUUUUUGUCCGACGCUAUUUUUGAUUAUUUUUGUUUGGAUACAAAUUAAUUGAUACCACUCU